CCAUUCUUCGAUUUGAUUUCCAGAGACAAUAGAAAAGAACAGAGAUGAGCGAUGGAGAGAACUCGGUGAUAAAAAUCGAAGAGGCUAAAAAAAACUGAUACAAGAACAGAGUCGACAUCCAUAGAAAAAACAGAGGGACACGCUACGGAUUUGAGGACGAGGGAAUCUUAUGGAAGGACUGAUCGGAGACGAGAAAGAGAUCCAAGAUCCUCGGGAGAAAAGAUGGUAAAGGAGAAUGCAACUCAGACGAGUGAAUAUCCAGCUCGCACCGGUGUAGGAGAUAGUUACUAUUACCUAAAAAACGGUCGUUGUGGCUUUGGACUAAGUUGCAGAUUCAACCAUCCACCGUACAUCGAAAUCAGAUGAGAUAUGGCAUGGUGCAACCGAGUCCCUAUUCAGUUUCCCCACAUCUUCCUGAGAGUAGUCAGAUGAGACAUGAAAUGGUGCAACCGAGUCCCUAUCCAGGUGCAAGAGAUUGUAGACAAUAUCUACAAACUCGGCGGUGUAGCUAUUGACCUAAGUGCCGAUUCAACCAUCCUCAUGCACCGGUCUGAAGGUUGGUCAUUGCAAUAAGAGACCGUCGUAACACGUAUUCUUAGGUUCUGGGAAGCUACAAAUGUGAAAAGGGUGGAGAGCUCAUGGGUGUAGAUCGGGUUUCCUCGAUGAAAAGUUAUCAGUCGACGUUGGUUCAGAGGGUCAAUGAACUGAGCGUAUUUGAUGUCGUAAGAAGCAAUAGCCACGUCAAACUUUUGGCAUCACCAGGUUCUAUUCGCUUUGACGAACAGAUCAAGUUUGUCCAGCUUACUGAUACAACAGCCUUUAUCCCGACUUAGCAGUUUAGGUUCAGCUAAUGGAUUUAGCUAAUACAAACGUUGACUUGCUGGGUUUGUCAUACUUCUCAUGUUUUUAUUAAUCUUUAACUUUUUGGGUUGGAAAUUAUCGCCUCCCGAGUCACCAUUUGUUUAAAAUUAAUCAUGCAGAUGAGUAUCAGGCGUGUAAUAGUUACAAUCCAACUUCACGGGUACGGUAGCCAAAUUCUUUGGUUUCAAAGUUUUAAGUUUGUAUUUCUGGGUUAGUCAAUGGAGUUUAGCUAAUUAUAAACUGUUACAACUCUGCAUGGAUACGGUUGGUGUGAGAGUGAAUUUGAUUAUGCUGCAGAUCAGCUUCAUAAGAAAUUAGAACAGUUGCUAAUAUCAAGAGUCAUCACCCAGACUAGAGCUGAGAACAACUCAAACAACGUCUGGCCUCAAACACAGUGCAGCCUUUUGUUUGAGAUGAUGAACAAAAAGAAAAGAGAAGAGAAUUAACAGCGGACAACCCUUCCACAAAGAGUAAUUACACGACACGAGCAACAAUCCAUGAAUGUGUCAGCGGGACCUUCACGGUUUGCGAAGAUAGAGGGAGCUAUUGAACCACUUCUUCAGUAAACACAUACACAAACACUUUAGCUAAGAUUCUCUGUGUUCUCCAUGUUUUAUUGUUUCAAAGGCUAUGGAGCAAAAGGCGAUGGUUAAAAGAUAAAUAUAUUACAACCCAUUUAC